UACCAAAGAUACAAUUUUACUGAACAUGAAGAAAAUUUCAUACGCUUAAUUUUUUCCUUUAGGGGCCCUUGCAAAUUUAUCUUUUAUGAUAAAGCCGGACCUUUAAUGAAAUAGAUUAGGACAGUUUUCAUUUAGACAGAAGUAUAAUUUUCUAAUGGUGUGGCACUAUUCACAUGGAAACUACAAUACUUGAGACCACGUACCAACCCCAGUUGAUACGACACUGGAAAAUAGUGAAUAUGUGAGACUGUAGCUGAAAAUAUAUGAUAUAUGUGAAGAAGAAAGUAAUUUGAGAGUGGCCAGUGAGGUUUAAUGUUUUGGCGUGUUAUUUAUGCAAUAUGGUGUCUGGUGUGAAUGGUUUUUGUUUUGAACAAGGAAAUAUGCCGCCUCCAGCGCUCCAUAUCUGUUCUUGCGAAGCUGUGCAGCGUCUUUGUAUGUCUCACUAUUGUUGUAAGACCUUCACCAAAGAAGCGCGGUUAUACCCGCGGCUACCGCGAAUACAUACUAUGAAUGUAUGACCAGGUGGUUUAAGCAGGCCAUACUAGUAGCUUAGCGAACAGGGUAUAUAAUGAAGAGGUGGUUUGUGCAGUCAGUGCAGUUGUGUCUUGCGAAUGAAUGUGGUGGCGCUUGAAACUCGAAUCUCAAAUCUCUAUCAAAGAAAUCCGUCUCAGUUGUCAUUAGUUCAUGUCACAACGUCUUGUGUUUGGAUUUUGCAAUUUGAUAUGAGGAUUUUCUGCAGCCUUGAGGUGAAGACAAUGAAGUCUGUUUCUCCGAUACUGAUCGUUGUUAUUGUUGUUUGCUCCGUUUUUGGUGCCGAUGGGCAUGAUUUUCAACAUCUGAAAAUGCAUCACCAGAUCUGUAAUUACUACGAUUUGACUGAAUUUCUUGCACCAAUAUGCACCGCGUUUUACGGACGAAGAUAUCGGAGGGAUGCUGAGAGUCCUUCAAAUAUCAUCAGUGAAUCGAAACAAGCUCUAAGCUUUCUGAAAUCCUCUCUUCGAUCGAGAAGACGACGAGCAACUUCAAGGGACGUCUCUUAUUAUGAUGAAUGCUGCUCAAGUAAGAUUUGUUCCUUCCAAGAACUAUUCGAGUAUUGUACAGUUAUCCCAUUUCAUCGUCUUUUACAUAAACGCUAGCCGUGCGUAGCGAAAGGUCUGACGCAUUCAUUAAAUACUACGCCAUCAGAUCCUAGAAAGACUCGCCAAACGUAAACUUCCUUUGUCAUAGAUGAUAUACAUUUGGCAACUUUCCCAGGCGAUUCGAGACAACUCAGUUAUCCCAAUGAAUCUCAAACAAUCCCAAAAUAAUUUUCAUUGCACUUUCGCUCUUUUGUUGCUAUCGGGUUUUUACCGACCUGAAAGCAAUUGCCUUCUCAAUCCUUGAAUUUUAUUUCCAUCACUUCUACAAUAUUAUUUAUAGAAACACGGUUUAGAUACUCAAAAUUUAUCGCCAAAGAGAAUUUUAUGGCUUAUGGUCUUAUGAAUAAAAUCAAAUCUACAUCAACCACUUAUUGUAGCUAAUUCCAUUCUAACGUAGAAAGUUUUGAAUGCAAGAAUUCCAUUCUAUGUUAAAAAAUAUAUGUGAUGUACAUAUUAGUUACCAGACUGAUAUAAAGUAAAUUUUAAAUAGAGUAUUUCGAUUCUCGUGUAAUAUUAUUUAAAUUUAUUCCGUAAGGUAGCUUCUUUACCUCCGAAUUGUCUAAGAUUUAAGAAAAUAUGACAUUGAAUGAAUUUGAAUGAAAUUCAUUAACACUAUCUUAAAAUUUUCAUUUGAUUUCUCAAUGUAUGUCUGCAU